GGAUGGAUGGCUCAGUGGUUAAGAGCACUGGCUGCUCUUCCAGAGGUCCUGAGUUCAAUUCCCAGCAACCA
rnacentral:tRNA from 1 species